rnacentral:rRNA from 1 species
UGGGGAAUCUUGGACAAUGGGGGCAACCCUGAUCCAGCCAUGCCGCGUGAGUGAUGAAGGCCUUAGGGUCGUAAAGCUCUUUCGCCUGUGAAGAUAAUGACGGUAGCAGGUAAAGAAACCCCGGUCAACUCCGUGCCAGCAGCCGCGGUAAUACGGAGGGGGUUAGCGUUGUUCGGAAUUACUGGGCGUAAAGGGCGUGUAGGCGGUCUAAUCAGUCAGUGGUGAAAGCCCUGGGCUCAACCCAGGAAUUGCCUCCAAAACUAUUGGUCUAGAGUUCGAGAGAGGUGAGUGGAAUUCCAAGUGUAGAGGUGAAAUUCGUAGAUAUUUGGAGGAACACCAGUGGCGAAGGCGGCUCACUGGCUCGAUACUGACGCUGAGGUGCGAAAGUGUGGGGAGCAAACAGGAUUAGAUAGCCCUGGUAGUCCACACCGUAAACGAUGAAUGCCAGUCGUCGGGUAGCAUGCUAUUCGGUGACACACCUAACGGAUUAAGCAUUCCGCCUGGGGAGUACGGUCGCAGA